UCCCCUGUGGAUCAGUUGGUAGAGCAUGGUGCUUGCAACACCAGGGUUGUGGGUUCGAUUCCCACGGGGGAC
rnacentral:tRNA from 1 species